rnacentral:rRNA from 1 species
GACGAACGCUGGCGGCGUGCUUAACACAUGCAAGUCGAGCGAUGAAGCUCCUUCGGGAGUGGAUUAGCGGCGGACGGGUGAGUAACACGUGGGCAACCUGCCUUAUAGAGAGGAAUAGCCAUCCGAAAGGAUGAUUAAUACCUCAUAAUAUUGUAGCUUCGCAUGGAGCAACGAUCAAAGGAGCAAUCCACUAUAAGAUGGGCCCGCGGCGCAUUAGCUAGUUGGUGAGGUAACGGCUCACCAAGGCGACGAUGCGUAGCCGACCUGAGAGGGGGGUCGGCCACAUUGGGACUGAGACACGGCCCAGACUCCUACGGGAGGCAGCAGUGGGGAAUGUUGCACAAUGGGGGGAACCCUGAUGCAGCAACGCCGCGUGAGUGAUGGCGGCCUUCGGGUUGCAAAGCUCUGUCUUCAGGGACGAUAAUGACGGUACCUGAGGAGGAAGCCACGGCUAACUACGUGCCAGCAGCCGCAGUAAAAC